rnacentral:rRNA from 1 species
CACGCAGGCGGUUUUUUAAGUCAGAUGUGAAAGGUACCGGCUCAACCGGUGACAUGCAUUUGAAACUGAAAGACUUGAGUAUUGGAGAGGCAAGUGGAAUUCCUAGUGUAGCGGUGAAAUGCGUAGAUAUUAGGAGGAACACCGGUGGCGAAGGCGGCGUUGCUGGACAAAUACUGACGCUGAGGUGCGAAAGCGUGGGGAGCAAACA